GCCCGCUUAGCUCAGUUGGUAGAGCGUGCCACUCGUACAUAUCUCAUGAUAUGGUAAGGUCGGUUGUUCGAAUCAGCCAGUGGGCA